GGAACAGAAGAAAGGGAAGUAGAUU
rnacentral:piRNA from 1 species